GGGGCCGGGCUGGGCUGGGCCGGGGACUCCUCGCGGUGACCCACCAAGCUUCUGCUUUUUUUUUUUUUUUUACCCUU
rnacentral:miRNA from 1 species